UACGGAGGGUGCGAGCGUUGUCCGGAAUCACUGGGCGUAAAGGGCGCGUAGGCGGCAUGCCAAGCGUGUGGUGAAAGCCCGGGGCUCAACCCCGGGUCGGCCGUGCGGACUGGCGUGCUCGAGCACUGUAGGGGCGGGUGGAAUUCCGGGUGUAGCGGUGGAAUGCGUAGAGAUCCGGAAGAACACCAGUGGCGAAGGCGGCCCGCUGGGCAGUGGCUGACGCUGAAGCGCGACAGCGUGGGGAGCAAACAGG
rnacentral:rRNA from 1 species